GUCGAACGGUAACAUUUCUAGCUUGCUAGAAGAUGACGAGUGGCGGACGGGUGAGUAAUACUUAGGAAUAUGCCUUUGUGUGGGGGAUAACUAUUGGAAACGAUAGCUAAUACCGCAUAAUGUCUUCGGACCAAAGGGGGCUUCGGCUCCCGCGCAAAGAGUAGCCUAAGCGAGAUUAGCUUGUUGGUGAGGUAAAGGCUCACCAAGGCGACGAUCUCUAGCUGUUCUGAGAGGAAGAUCAGCCACACUGGAACUGAGACACGGUCCAGACUCCUACGGGAGGCAGCAGUGGGGAAUAUUGCACAAUGGGGGAAACCCUGAUGCAGCCAUGCCGCGUGUGUGAAGAAGGCCUUCGGGUUGUAAAGCACUUUCAGUUGUGAGGAAAGGUUAACGGUUAAUACCCGUUAGCUGUGACGUUAGCAACAGAAGAAGGACCGGCUAACUCCGUGCCAGCAGCCGCGGUAAUACGGAGGGUCCGAGCGUUAAUCGGAAUUACUGGGCGUAAAGCGCACGCAGGCGGUUUGUUAAGCUAGAUGUGAAAGCCCUGGGCUCAACCUGGGAAUUGCAUUUAGAACUGGCAGGCUAGAGUUUUGGAGAGGGGAGUGGAAUUCCAGGUGUA
rnacentral:rRNA from 1 species